rnacentral:rRNA from 1 species
CCUACGGGAGGCAGCAGUGAGGAAUAUUGGUCAAUGGCCGUAAGCCUGAACCAGCCAAGUCGCGUGAAGGAAGAAUGCUCUAUGGGUUGUAAACUUCUUUUAUAGGGGAAUAAAGGUAUCCACGUGUGGAUAUUUGCAUGUACCCUAUGAAUAAGCAUCGGCUAACUCCGUGCCAGCAGCCGCGGUAAUACGGAGGAUGCGAGCGUUAUCCGGAUUUAUUGGGUUUAAAGGGUGCGUAGGUUGUUUUUUAAGUCAGCGGUGAAAGUUUGUGGCUCAACCAUAAAAUUGCCGUUGAAACUGGAAGACUUGAGUGUGUUUGAGGUAGGCGGAAUGCGUGGUGUAGCGGUGAAAUGCAUAGAUAUCACGAAGAACUCCGAUUGCGAAGGCAGCUUACUAAGCUACAACUGACACUGAAGCACGAAAGCGUGGGGAUCAAACAGGAUUAGAUACCCGUGUAGUC